UACAGAGGUCUCAAGCGUUGUUCGGAUUCAUUGGGCGUAAAGGGUGCGUAGGUGGCGAGGUAAGUCUGGUGUGAAAUCUCGGGGCUCAACCCCGAAACUGCACUGGAUACUGCCUUGCUCGAGUACUGGAGAGGUGAGUGGAACUGCGAGUGUAGAGGUGAAAUUCGUAGAUAUUCGCAAGAACACCAGUGGCGAAGGCGGCUCACUGGCCCGGUACUGACGCUGAGGUGCGAAAGCGUGGGGAGCAAACAGG
rnacentral:rRNA from 1 species